GUGGGGAAUAUUGGACAAUGGGGGGAACCCUGAUCCAGCCAUGCCGCGUGUGUGAAGAAGGCCUUUUGGUUGUAAAGCACUUUAAGCGAGGAGGAGGCUACCGAGAUUAAUACUCUUGGAUAGUGGACGUUACUCGCAGAAUAAGCACCGGCUAACUCUGUGCCAGCAGCCGCGGUAAUACAGAGGGUGCAAGCGUUAAUCGGAUUUACUGGGCGUAAAGCGCGCGUAGGUGGCCAAUUAAGUCAAAUGUGAAAUCCCCGAGCUUAACUGGGGAAUUGCAUUCGAUACUGGUUGGCUAGAGUAUGGGAGAGGAUGGUAGAAUUCCAGGUGUAGCGGUGAAAUGCGUAGAGAUCUGGAGGAAUACCGAUGGCGAAGGCAGCCAUCUGGCCUAAUACUGACACUGAGGUGCGAAAGCAUGGGGAGCAAACAGGAUUAGAUACCCGGGUAGUCC
rnacentral:rRNA from 1 species